AGGUUUUCCAUGGAUGUAAGCAAGCAGUUUUGGACAAGAUGUACUACUGAGAAUCAACACGUUCUCUUUCUCAGUACAGAGAAAAGGCUGGAAAUACCUACCCAAUGACCUGAGAAAUGAAAGCAGCUCUAACUUUACUCUUGAACAGUACCGCAGAAGAAUUAAGGCAGUCAGAAAAAGGAAAACAACGUACACAUCUAGGCUUGAUCAGAGGAUGUAAGCUGCUAUGAGCACACAACACAAAUUUGCACUCAGGUUUUCAAAGCCAUGAUAUAAAAACAUUUUCUUUGCCAA